GUCUACGGCCAUACCACCCUGAACAAGCCUGAUUCCGUCUGAUCUCGGAAGCUGGGCAGGGUCAGGCCUGUUUAGUACUUUGAUGGGAGACCACCUAGGAAGACCAGGUGCUGUAGGCA
rnacentral:rRNA from 1 species